AGCAGCGCGCGGGCAGCCAAUGGGAGGGCGCUGCCGACCGCGGAGCUGCUACAUCCUCUACUGCUCCUGACCCCUUGUCUUGACUUCUGAGCUGGCCCUUAAACCUGCCUCACCACAGCAGACUCAUCUGGAAAUCUGGACUUCUGUCUGGCCCGCCUGCUGCCACUGGCUCUGCCCUGCUCUUCUGUUUGGGUGCUGUGAGAGUGUGCCUUUUCCAGCAAGGCCACUGCCCCACUCUCCUGGUCACACUCCGCUCCUGGCCCUUCUGCCCUUUAAGGGCAGCCUGUUCCCCACUGCUUCCUGACAGCAUAACUGUGUUCACCUGUAAGCUUAUUGCUUGGGGCUUUUUAAAAUUAUUGGUUUUUUAUUUGAUAAAUGUUGUAUAUGCUUUCAAAAUCGAAAAAAAACUCCGAUGUUUUGGGUUUUUUUUUGAAAUUGUUUUUGUGUGUUGUCAACAACAUAUGCAGACGUAAAUAGCAGUCUUCUGAAUUUUAUUAAACCUUUGCAUAUCUGAUCAAGAAAAAGUACCAAAAUGACUAAGCUAGUUUGGUGAGAUAAUCCAUAUUACUGCCUUCUUUUCCAUGAUGCAGGAUUAUGAAUGACUUUCCAACAUCUUUUGUAUUUACUUUCCAUGCUGUAGAAGAUAGUAUGACAUAGACAUGCAUGACAUCAUUGCUACUGAUCUAAAAGAAUGUACUUGCAACAAAAAUUAAAAAUCAGCCACCUGAAGCCAACAGAAUUAUAACCAUGUUCUCCUACUGUGCCAGUAGAAAAGCACUUUUCAGGAUUACACCUUACAAAUGAUGAAAGAAAGCUGAAAGGUAAAAUUUAACAACCAGUUGCUAGAUUUUCAAAAUUUUAAAACAGAAUCUGAGGAUGUAAUACAGUCCUACUUUUUAAAAGAAUUAUUUUAGGUUAAAUUCAGGGACCUUGUUUAAUCUAUACUGGAAAAUGUAUUUAUCUCCUAAGGAUGUUUCUGGAUCCGAGUGCAAAUUUAAAUUUACGUCAAGUUCAGAUGACCUCCUCUUGCAGAUCAGUUUGAUGACUAAUUUAGUUGCCUUUAGUAGCAUUUAAUAGCCUAAGAUUUACUACUACUCCUAAUUAAUCAGUACAGUUUCUUCUGUAGUGGUUGUCAGUAGCAUUAUUCUUUUUCUUCAGCUUUAAGAGGCUUCAGAUCUGAUUAUCCUGUCACUGGGUGUACAUGUGGAAAUUCUUAUAAAGCAUCGCUAUUAUCUCUUUGCAAGAAAGGAGCUGCUGUUGCAAUGGAAUUGACUGCAAUCAUUUUAUAUGGAUUUCUCAAAGAGUUUGCAGUAAGAAUAUUAAAGUUGUUGGUGGAUCUUGUUCUAGAUCUCUUAGGUAAUUAAUUAUAGUCUUCUACCAGUUUAUUCUCCAGACGUGUGAUUGCCAC
ensembl:lncRNA